rnacentral:lncRNA from 1 species
UCCAAAAAACCAAUUAAAACAAUAAUAAUAAUAAGGGUAAACUUCAAAUAUUACUCGUGAAUUUUGCAUUUUUUCAUUUUUAGCGCCUUAUAGUUUAAACUGUAUCACUUAGUAUUCUGUGAUUUUAUUUUAGUUUCUUUCUGCAAGCAUCUCUAUUAACUCUCUGUUAAGUCAUAUACAAAAAACUUAAGACACCCCAUCUAUGAUUUAUAGAAUAUUCACUUUAAUAUUCUGUGGCUUAUCAAAAUUUUUACUUUAGUACUCUAUAGUUUUAACUUUAUCAUUAAUUUAAUGAAAAAAAUCAACGAAAAGGAUUACGGAAAGAGAAAAAUGAAACCACACGAUGGUGUUUAAAGUUUUCAAUAAUAAUAAUAUUAAUAAAUUAUGCUGAUAGUAUUAAGCAUUUUGUACUAUCGAGUUUUCGGCCGUUGAAUAAAAGGUAGUUAGGAUAAUAAUAGUUCCCUAAGGUUGAAUGGGUAGUUAGUUGAAUAUAUAAUCUAACGGAUGAAAAUAAUCGAAGGAUAGAUCUAACGGCAGAAAAUUCGAUAGUAUCAAUAAUAACUUGAUAAUAUCAAUAGUAUAUAAAUUUAUUUAUAUCUUUUAGUAGUGA